GUAGUCUUCUCCCCCGGAGGCCUGGCGGUGGCUACCUCACGCUGGAAGUCAGAACUACAGGGCCGCCGCCACGCAGUUUGUGAUUUCCCAAGGGCAAGGACUGAAUACCCUGCUCAAGAGCCUGGUGCCUGGCAUAGACAAGAAUGCUGAGGAAGAUUCAAUAGCUGUGUUACUCAAAAGCUGAUAUAAAAGUUCAUCUGGAAAAAUGAGGAAUAUAAAGCUCAGAAAAGUUCAAUAACUUGCCCAGGAUCACACAGCAAGUAAAGGUGAAGACUAGAUUUAAAUACAAGCCAAUUCUGACCUUUAACCUUUAUGCUUGACUGCCAAUCAGUGGCUGAGAAUUCUGGCCCCAGCUAAACAAAAGUUACACACUCAUCCUGCCAGCAUCCAACCCAAAAGCUGGUAGCUUCUCUUCUGCUUGUCUCUCAUGCUACUGCUGUUGUAGCAUCUAUGAUUGCUGUGCUGAGCCCUCAAGAACAUGGAGCAGAAGCAGGAUAAAAAUCUUCUGAUCUCUAGUCAGAAUCAUGUCAGCCAAGUCAAUCUAUUCUUCAUAAACCAAGAGUAAUCAUAGUCACAAACGUUGCAAUAAUAAAAAUGCCUUAUUAGUA